rnacentral:rRNA from 1 species
GGCGGCGUGCUUAACACAUGCAAGUCGAACGAACUUAUCGGGAGGAAGUUUUCGGAUGGAAUCCGGAUUGACUGAGUGGCGGACGGGUGAGUAACGCGUGGGUAACCUGCCUCAUACAGGGGGAUAACAGUUAGAAAUGACUGCUAAUACCGCAUAAGCGCACAGGGACACAUGUUCCGGUGUGAAAAACUCCGGUGGUAUGAGAUGGACCCGCGUCUGAUUAGCUGGUUGGCGGGGUAACGGCCCACCAAGGCGACGAUCAGUAGCCGACCUGAGAGGGUGACCGGCCACAUUGGGACUGAGACACGGCCCAAACUCCUACGGGAGGCAUCAGUGGGGAAUAUUGCACAAUGGGGGAAACCCUGAUGCAGCAACGCCGCGUGAGUGAAGAAGUAUUUCGGUAUGUAAAGCUCUAUCAGCAGGGAAGAAGAUGACGGUACCUGAGUAAGAAGCCCCGGCUAACUACGUGCCAGCAGCCGCGGUAAUACGUAGGGGGCAAGCGUUAUCCGGAUUUACUGGGUGUAAAGGGAGCGUACACGGUGAGACAAGUCUGAAGUGAAAGCCCGGGGCUCAUCCCCGGGACUGCUUUGGAAACUGCCUGACUGGAGUGCU